CCUACGGGUGGCAGCAGUGAGGAAUAUUGGUCAAUGGGCGCGAGCCUGAACCAGCCAAGUCGCGUGAAGGAUGACUGCCCUCCGGGUUGUAAACUUCUUUUAUCAAGGAAUAAAGUGAGGCACGUGUACCUUUUUGUAUGUACUUUAUAAAUAAGGAUCGGCUAACUCCAUGCCAGCCGCCGCGGUAAUCCGGAGGCUCCGAGCGUUAUCCGGGUUUCUUGGGUUUGAAGGGAGGGUAGAGAGGUUGGCCAGUCAGUGGGGAAAGUUUGCGGCUCAACCGUAAAAAUGCAAUUGAUACUGGCAGUGUUGAGUAGAGUUGAGGUAGGUGGAAUUCGUGGUGUAGCGGUUAAAUGCGUAGAUAUCACGAAGAACUCCGAUUGCGAAGGCAGCCUACUAAACUGCAACUGACAUUGAGGCUCGAAAGUGUGGGUAUCAAACAGGAUUAGAUACCCUAGUAGUC
rnacentral:rRNA from 1 species